AGUGAACGCUGGCGGUAGGCCUAACACAUGCAAGUCGAACGGCAGCACAGUAAGAGCCUGCUCUUACGGGUGGCGAGUGGCGGACGGGUGAGGAAUACAUCGGAAUCUACUUUUUCGUGGGGGAUAACGUAGGGAAACUUACGCUAAUACCGCAUACGACCUACGGGUGAAAGCAGGGGAUCUUCGGACCUUGCGCGAUUGAAUGAGCCGAUGUCGGAUUAGCUAGUUGGCGGGGUAAAGGCCCACCAAGGCGACGAUCCGUAGCUGGUCUGAGAGGAUGAUCAGCCACACUGGAACGGAGACACGGUCCAGACUCCUACGGGAGGCAGCAGUGGGGAAUAUUGGACAAUGGGCGCAAGCCUGAUCCAGCCAUACCGCGUGGGUGAAGAAGGCCUUCGGGUUGUAAAGCCCUUUUGUUGGGAAAGAAAAGCAGCAGGUUAAUACCCCGCUGUUCUGACGGUACCCAAAGAAUAAGCACCGGCUAACUUCGUG
rnacentral:rRNA from 1 species